UACGUAGGGGGCAAGCGUUGUCCGGAUUUAUUGGGCGUAAAGAGCGUGUAGGCGCCAGACAGGUCCGUUGUGAAAACUCGAGGCUCAACCUCGAGACGCCGAUGGAAACCGUCUGGCUAGAGUCCGGAAGAGGAGAGUGGAAUUCCUGGUGUAGCGGUGAAAUGCGCAGAUAUCAGGAAGAACACCCGUGGCUAAGGCGGCUCUCUAGUACGGUACUGACGCUGAGACGCGAAAGCGUGGGAGCGAACAGG
rnacentral:rRNA from 1 species